GAGUUUUUCUCAAGUAAGCUACUGAGUAGUCUUUUGGAGUUUUCAGCCUUCUUGUAUGCAUUUUCAAUUUUUUUUGGUACUUCUGAUGAAACAACUCUUAUCUGUUUUUGGCUCUCGGUUCACAACAACACAAAAAAAAGUUCUGUCUAGGAGGAAUAGCACCCUCUACAUAACUCUAGAAAUAAAUUUUAAAUAACAGAUACACAACACGGCUUCUACUCCCUCUCGUGAAAGGAACCCCAGAAGGAUGAUGGGCGUGGUGCACAGAGGACAUACGGUUCCCCAUAAGGAUUCAAAAAGAAUUGAUACAAAUAGGACAUUCCAGUAUGGAGAAGAAUGGAAAAAUCUCUACAUAUUGACUUCUGCUCCCUAAGUGCUUACAAUCAAUCAUCUGCGAUUUCCAGACACAGCAUCCAGAUGUUGAAUAAAAUUUUUGUUCAUGGCCA